UACGUAGGGUGCGAGCGUUAAUCGGAAUUACUGGGCGUAAAGCGUGCGCAGGCGGCUCUGAAAGUCAGCUGUGAAAGCCCCGGGCUUAACCUGGGAAUGGCGGUUGAAACUACAGGACUAGAAUCUGGCAGAGGGGGGUGGAAUUCCACGUGUAGCAGUGAAAUGCGUAGAGAUGUGGAGGAACACCGAUGGCGAAGGCAGCCCCCUGGGCUGAGAUUGACGCUCAGGCACGAAAGCGUGGGGAGCAAACAGG
rnacentral:rRNA from 1 species